UGCUGUGUUUCAGGGUUUUGGUGAUUUGGGCUGUGCCUGUUGCUCUGAGACAAGGUCAUGGUGAUGUGUAACAGUGUUUGAAGCCAUGCUAGCUUGUGUUUGGCUUGUGGAGUGCAGGCUCAGCCCCAGGCUCUUUGUGGGGUCUGGGUUUGAGUUCUGGAGCUGCUGGGGCUGGUCCGGGCUCUGUGACCCCCUGGUCAGCAGCACCCUGUGCUCACUGACCUGCUGCAGCACACCUGAGAAGCGUCUGAUGCCUGCUGCUGGGCCCCAGGGGGAUGCAGUGCCCCAAGGCACUGACCUGGCCGAGGGCACCCAGGGGUGCCGGUGAGACUGGCAAUGCAAACCCUGACAAUGAACUUUCUUCGGUUGGAAGACAAAGGAUAUUCUGGUUGAUUUGUGGUGGAGUUGGCGUCUUCCAUAUUACACAGGAAGUAUCUGAUGCACCAGAAGUGGUGGUGGAGAGGCUUUGCUGAAAAGCUUUUGAACCUCUGGCCCCAGAAGAUAGCUCUUAUCCAGGAGGAGCUUUGCAACACUGUUUACUUUCAUUCUUCGGAGGCUGAUCAAGCCGUUCCAGCAGGGAAUGUGUUUUGGUGGAGCAUGGGCCAUGCCAGCCUUCCUCCCAGCGUGAAUGCUGCGAUGUCCAAGGGCGCUGCAGCACCUUCAGCCUGGCUCCAAAGCACGCGGCUCGACGCUUGGCUGCGGGACAAGUGCGUUGUGACUGACUGGGAACGUGCAUGCUUCUCCUAGCCUUCACAGGGGAUCCAUAAAUAUCUCUUAAAAAGGGUCAUUUGCAAACUGUCUUGAUAUACUAAUGUUAUCUGAGGCUUCGGUCACUUAGGAAUUUCUGGCUAGAUAAGAUACCAAGGGUUUAUUGCAUCUCCUGGCAAUUAUUAAGAAAAUAAAAUCAGUUAAUAUCUAACCUUGAACCUAGACUGUAACAUUUGGCUUCAGACUCUAUUCUGCCUUACUUAUAAGACCUGGAGUUGUAUAGUUUAUGGAGGGGUAUUAGGAGCGACUGAAUAAAUGAACAGGAAUUUCA